rnacentral:rRNA from 1 species
UACGUAGGGCGCAAGCGUUGUCCGGAAUUAUUGGGCGUAAAGAGCUCGUAGGCGGUUUGUCGCGUCUGCUGUGAAAACCCGGAGCUCAACUCCGGGCCUGCAGUCGAUACGGGCAGACUGGAGUUCGGCAGGGGAGACUGGAAUUCCUGGUGUAGCGGUGAAAUGCGCAGAUAUCAGGAGGAACACCGGUGGCGAAGGCGGGUCUCUGGGCCGAUACUGACGCUGAGGAGCGAAAGCGUGGGGAGCAAACAGG